CGCGCUGUGCACUCGACUGGCGCGCGCUCUCUCUCCAAGACUCCAUCCCCCUCUCCCUCCUUUUCUCCCUCUCUUUCUCUAUCGGCAUUGCCUUCCUUCCGAAGGGAUCGUCCUCGUGCAUGGGCCUUGUGGUUUCAGUCACUCUUGCCUUGAUGGCAAUCGUAUAAAAGAAACAGAGUAAUGGGAGAGGAUGCAGGGUACCCUAAGGUUCAGGCGGAGAGCCGGUGGAAUGCGACGAACAUUUCCGGCAUCGACGACCCCUUGGGUGGGUUCCCUGGGUUUGCGAAUACGAGGAACCCAAUGUCGGAUAUCUAGCAUCAGACGGAGGCCUCUGAAGAUCGUCUGAUCGGCAGCUUUGAACCUUCUAUCGCAUCACAUGAAUCCCUUCGCAGCCUGCUCGCCUACCUGGCAGCCAUCGGACGAUGGUCACAGGGGCACAGAUCUGAUGCUGUGCUAGUUGCUGUUGGAAACUCGGAUGUGUCCUUGUGGAAAAGAAAUCAGACGUGUGUCAGAUUUGGGCAUGGAAAGGAGUUCAGUUAUGGAUCUGAUCAUGUGUUUUGUAAAAGAUCACAUGCGCUUGACAGGAUGGAUGUUAUGAACUAUAAUCUUGUGAUAAAGGGUUUUGACAAACAACAACCUUGCUGGCCCCAUGCAGUAUGCAGAAUUGACAAGAAAAGAUACACUUAAGGGUAUGUUUCUCCUUAAUAAAUGUGCUUUAUCCUUCCAGAGUCAAAUGUUCUAGUGUUGAUGAUGAAAGUGUUAUUUCCUCUACAGCUUCAUUUCUUUUGUAAUUUUCUGUCCACUGCUAGGUUUAUAGUUUACUUGUUCUGAUUCUCAUUCAUGGGCAGGUUGUACUGCCAUGCAUUAUGUCUACAAGGAGUUGGUUGGGUAGACUUAUAUAAACAUUGAAUGGUCCUUUGUUUUGAGUUUCAAUCACAAUAAUCAAUUGAAUGGUGAUUAUUUUCCUUGAAAUGCAUUUGCAUGCACUUGAAAAUGAAAGUAAUUCCUCUUCUCAGGAUAUCCACUCGAACUUGCUUGUCAAAAUAAGUAUUCAUGUGCACACACAUAACGUCAUAAACACGGGAGAGUGCCAUAUCUGAAGUUAUAUAUAAGUAGUACACCCUUCAUAUUGAAUCUGCAGAUUAAUUUCACUAGCUGCCAUUGGGGGCUCAAGGAUCUGCAAUUAAUUUUCUUGUACUAAAAAAACUUAAUUAUUUACACUAGGUAAUGGAAAUCGUGUUGCAUUGAAACAUUUAACUUCACUGUCAUUCCUGCUUCAAGUUAUCUCAGUUUGCAGGCCCCAAGUGUAAAGGGCUUAGAUGAGGUGACUUGCAUUUAUGCCUAGGUGAUUUUCACAUUCAUAGUGGCAUUACCAUGCAGAGACUUGUCAUACAAUAGCUUCACAAACAUGUCUUCUAAUGUAGCAACUUCUUGCGUGCAACAAAGCCUGUAAGAGCCCCCAUACAGUUUCAUGUUUUUUCGUCCAUUAUGUUCCUCAUUGUCGCUGACAAUCACUACUACCAUUCUUCAGCAAUCUAGUUAAAAAGUGUGAAGGCACAGGAAAAAGAUAAUGUGAGGUUAUUCUCCUGGUUUUUCUUUCAAGCCCAAACUUGGAAUUGUUCUUCCAAUACCUGAUUCCUUCAAAUGACAUUCUCAUGGCUUUUGUUGACAGAUUUUACUUUUCACACAAAUUGCUGUAGCCAGGGUCCAGUUAGUACUUCAAACAAGUACAUUGUUGGGGGUAAGCCAUUUUUUGUGCCUCAAGCAGAAGGUAAAUUAUAUAGUGCUGCCUGUUUUUCGCAAUCUAGCUGAAAUACUAUGGGUUCUGCCUCUAUAGUGGGUCUCGAUAGUUAUAACUGAUGAUAAGAAUUAUAGCAGCCAGGAAACAGUAUUUUCAUGUGUAUAUUCAGGUAAAGGCUCAAGUUAAACAUGGGUUAUUGAGAAAAUUAUUAAAAUGUUGGCAGUCUAUCAUGGAGAUGCAGGGGAAGCUCAAAAAUAAGGAUUUAAAAAAAAAAAAGAAAAGCAAAAAACAAAAACCAGUGCUUGUUUCUGCCAAAGCCUUCAUUUUGAAUUUCAUUAGUGUGCGCGUAGCAAAUAAUACACUGGAGAUUCACCUUUUUUUGUGAUAGAAAGGGCGGUACAGCGAUUCCAUGGUCCUCCUAUAUCGGCUAUUUCUCUAGAAGUUGGUAGGCUCUUUCAUUCAGUAUGGUUUCUUCCUUCAUGUCAGAUAUGAAAUAUGUUUAAAUGUUAAACGCUAUAGUUAACAGUCUAAUGGUCGACCUUCUGCUAGGCUUUCCACUGCGCUCCUACUGCUUCCCCUUUGCAAUAGCAGGCGGCAGCUACCAUAGCCGACAGCCGGCGACAUCCAGCGACGUAGGCAAACAUUGGCAGCCUGGUUUGCCUCAAUUCCACGAGGGGACAAUUCCUCGUAUUUUUUGGAUUUUUCUGUGAUAGUGAAAAACCCAACGCAGCCGUACAUAUGUAUCUUGGUUCGGAACAGAUCGGCCAUAUAAUUGCAACUACAGCUUCGGAAC